rnacentral:rRNA from 1 species
UACGGGGGGGGGUAAGCGUUGUUCGGAAUUACUGGGCGUAAAGGGCUCGUAGGCGGCCAACUAAGUCGGACGUGAAAUCCCUCAGCUUAACUGGGGAACUGCGUCCGAUACUGGAUGGCUUGGAUUUGGGAGAGGGAUGCGGAAUUCCAGGUGUAGCGGUGAAAUGCGUAGAUAUCUGGAGGAACACCGGUGGCGAAGGCGGGUCUCUGGGCCGAUACUGACGCUGAGGAGCGAAAGCGUGGGGGAGCAAACAGG